CUUGUCCAGGCACCCAUCUCUCAUACCGGUCAAGCAGGUUUGCUGCCCACAGACAUGAAAGAUAAUCGGGUGAACAUACAGCAGAGAGCGGUGGUUCGGCCAUCCUCCUGCUUCUCGGCCAACAGAGGGCCAUCGUGCAUGGAGAUCGCUUGGUCGGAGAGGCAGGUGCCCACUGGGUCGGACCCUCUUCACCAUAACAGGUCACCCUUUGGGCGCCCCCUCCCUUAGGAAGACGACCCCCUGCUGCCUCCCUCCUCCCCUGUUCCUCCGUCCUGGAAAGUAAAACACGUACUGACCUAUAUGUCCUCAGCUUUUCCGGAGAUUAACCC